UAGGGAAUCUUCGGCAAUGGACGAAAGUCUGACCGAGCAACGCCGCGUGAGUGAAGAAGGUUUUCGGAUCGUAAAACUCUGUUGUUAGAGAAGAACAAGGACGUUAGUAACUGAACGUCCCCUGACGGUAUCUAACCAGAAAGCCACGGCUAACUACGUGCCAGCAGCCGCGGUAAUACGUAGGUGGCAAGCGUUGUCCGGAUUUAUUGGGCGGAAAGCGAGCGCAGGCGGUUUCUUAAGUGUGAUGUGAAAGCCCCCGGCUCAACCGGGGAGAGUCAUUGGAAACUGGGAGACUUGAGUGCAGAAGAGGAGAGUGGAAUUCCAUGUGUAGCGGUGAAAUGCGUAGAUAUAUGGAGGAACACCGGUGGCGAAAGCGGCUCUCUGGUCUGUAAAUGACACUGAGGCUCGAAAGCGUGGGGAGCAAACAGG
rnacentral:rRNA from 1 species